rnacentral:piRNA from 1 species
CACAUUUUUAACCGAGUCUGCCU